rnacentral:rRNA from 1 species
UACGGAGGGUGCAAGCGUUGCUCGGAAUCAUUGGGCGUAAAGCGUACGCAGGCUGUUCGUUAAGUCGGGUGUGAAAGCCCAGGGCUCAACCCUGGAAUGGCGCCCGAAACUGGCGAGCUUGAGUGCGGGAGAGGGAAGCGGAAUUCCUGGUGUAGAGGUGAAAUUCGUAGAUAUCUGGAGGAAUACCGGUGGCGAAGGCGGCAUCCUGGACCGGCAUUGACGCUGAUACAGCGAAAGCUAGGGGAGCAAACGGG